rnacentral:rRNA from 1 species
AGUGAACGCUGGCGGUAGGCCUAACACAUGCAAGUCGAACGGCAGCACAGUAAGAGCUUGCUCUUACGGGUGGCGAGUGGCGGACGGGUGAGGAAUACAUCGGAAUCUACUUUUUCGUGGGGGAUAACGUAGGGAAACUUACGCUAAUACCGCAUACGACCUACGGGUGAAAGCAGGGGAUCUUCGGACCUUGCGCGAUUGAAUGAGCCGAUGUCGGAUUAGCUAGUUGGCGGGGUAAAGGCCCACCAAGGCGACGAUCCGUAGCUGGUCUGAGAGGAUGAUCAGCCACACUGGAACUGAGAGACGGUCCAGACUCCUACGGGAGGCAGCAGUGGGGAAUAGUGGACAAUGGGCGCAAGCCUGAUCCAGCCAUACCGCGUGGGUGAAGAAGGCCUUCGGGUUGUAAAGCCCUUUUGUUGGGAAAGAAAAGCAGCAGGUUAAUACCCCGCUGUUCUGACGGUACCCAAAGAAUAAGCACCGGCUAACUUCGUG